GCCGCCUCCAAGAGGGCUAUAAGAGAGUUCCACUAUCUAGCUCAAACUGUCCUCGAACUUUGGAUUGCUGGUGGCCAUGUCAGAGGAGCAGCAGGUGGCAAUUGAAGUUCAAGGUGUCAGCACACCAGGAGGCAACUCCCUGAAUGUAACCACAUUGGAAUUCCUAUAUUGCCUGAAAACUUUGUUGGGGUAUAUAUAGCUGUUAGAAAAAAGUAUAACAACAGAAAGAACACAGAAGAAUAAGGGAUAAAGAAGGAAACCACCAAGAAAGAAUGUGAGUGUCUUUUCCCCUAACCCCCUCAGAUAAAAAAGUCUUAGUAUGUGCUGACUCCGUGGAUUGCCUUUGAGGCCUGUGCUCCUGGGAGCUUGCAGCCCAGGUGCAACCCUGGAUCAUCCUGCUGCAAGCUCCCAAUGUCUGUGCAAACAUUACCGUUGCUCUUUGAUAACUACUUUGAUUUGUGUAGUCUUUUGUUACAUCAGACUAUAUUUACCAAGAAAAUAAAGAGGAAAAUGAACAGAUAUAGACAAAAACAAUAGAAAUCAAAUCAACAUGAUUCUUUGGGAGGGGAAAAACCGAUGAAUAUAUUAGUAAAUACUGAGUCCAUUACAAACACAAAGCAUUCAGUUAAAAAAAUGCAUGAAGGCAUUCCUCUGUAUUCUUUUCCUUUGUGUUUGCUCAUGGAACUGUCUUAAUAUUGCAGGUUUCUGUCUGGUAGCAAGACAUUGAUAAAACAUCCAAUUAGCUCUCCCUUUACCUAGUUGGAGCUGGCUUAACUGUGGCUCUUCUGAUUGUUUUUUAAAGGUGAAAGUAUCCUGGAUAAGAUAGCUGGAGUGAUUAUUCGGUCUGGGGAUACCAUGAACUAAAGCAGUUACUGGGGCAAGGCUAAUGUGUCAGCAACCAACCCCCGAAGGAUUUGACAGCUGGAUGUAGAAUGGAAUUCAAGCUCAAUGUGUCCCAGCUGGGGUUGUAGCUCAGUCGACAGAGCACUUGCCUAGGAGGUGUGAUGUGUUGCUUCCCAGCACGGAGGAGGAAAUGGCUCUGUUGUACACACCUACAAGUUAAGCACUCAGACCGGAGGGAGGAGGGAACCAGAAAGCUCAAGUGCAGGGAGUUUGGGGCCAACCUGGGCUACAUGAGAGCAUGCCAAAAAACAAAACAAAGCAAGCGUAAUGUGUUGAACAAUGAUCAAGUGAAGAGGUUAGGAAGGGUCUGGUGCUUGUCUCAAAGGUUUAGCUAUGAUGUUAUUCUUAAAAACUUCUGACAUCUGUGACAUUACCCAAUUAUGAAAUUUUCUUUUAUACAAUGAACUGUUCCCAAUUUGCUGUGAAUAUUGGAUGUGAACUUGUAGAUAUCUGUAUCAAAAUGUAGAAAAACUGCCAAUGAACUUCAAUGGAAAUCUGUGUGUAUGAAUACAAUACAAUGUUGGUAAAUCACAUUUUUUAACAUUAAAGAUUAUUCUUAACUUGAAAUCUUUUGAAUAAAUUACUCUGAAGACCAA